rnacentral:rRNA from 1 species
UACGUAGGGUGCGAGCGUUAAUCGGAAUUACUGGGCGUAAAGCGUGCGCAGGCGGUUCGUUAAGUUCGUUGUGAAAGCCCCGGGCUCAACCUGGGAACGGCAAUGGAAACUGGCGGGCUCGAGUGCGGCAGAGGGGGGUGGAAUUCCUGGUGUAGCAGUGAAAUGCGUAGAGAUGUGGAGGAACACCGAUGGCGAAGGCAGCCCCCUGGGUCAACACUGACGCUCAUGCACGAAAGCGUGGGUAGCAAACAGG